CUGUUGUGGGCUAAUGAAGUGAAUAUGAGCAUCUAUUCCACCAGCAGUUAAUAUUUUUCCUUCUCCUGCUAUAACUUCAGUUCCCGCACCAAUAAUAAUAUCAACUUUAGGUUGGAUAUCUGGGUUACCAGCUUUUCCAAUUUUAGAAAUAUAACCAUUUAUAAUUCCUACAUCUGCUUUAAUGACUCCCCAGUGAUCUAAAAUUAUUGCAUUUGUAAUAACAGUAUCAACUGCCCCUUUUGCAUUACUAAUUUGACUCUGACCCAUGCCAUCAC
rnacentral:sRNA from 1 species